rnacentral:tRNA from 2 species
GGGCGAUUAGCUCAGUGGGAGAGCGCUACCUUGACACGGUAGAGGUCACUGGUUCGAUCCCAGUAUCGCCCACCA